rnacentral:lncRNA from 1 species
AGAAGAAUCUGCAGUACUAUGAGAUAUCGGCAAAGAGCAACUACAACUUUGAGAAGCCCUUCUUGUACCUUGCUAGAAAACUGGCUGGGGACCAAAACCUUCACUUUGUGGAGACACCAGCUCUUGCUCCACCAGAGGUUCACAUUGACAUUGCUGAUCAGCAGAAGAACGAAGCCGAGCUCUUACAGGCGGCAGCCCAGCCACUCCCUGAUGACGAUGAUGAUGUCUUUGAGUAAAUCUUCUAAAUGUCUGCUGUGGGAAGCUCUAGCUUGUUCCUUUUGGUGUUUUCUCUAUGUUUGUUUUGGUGUUACAUAUAAAUCAAUCGAGUCUUUCUUAUAACAAAAAUUAGGGAAAUAUUUUUGGAUGGUUCUGUUGGUAUCCAAUGAAAAUAUUAAGAAUCAAGUGGGAAGAAUAGAGAUGAACAUGAUGAAGAAUAAAGAGAAAGAUGAUUGAUUUUUGAUGAGAUAAAAGUUACAAAUGAUUUGCGGCUGCACACGGUUUAUAUAGGGAGCUCACUAGGUCUAGAUGGGUAUGCACAUAACCUUAAAAGCAUCCUCAUUCAGCCUAGUGAGUCACCGUGCGCUUUUGCCACUUUCCAGCUCAUGACAACGGUCAUAUACAACACGACAAGGCCGUACACGCGCUUAGCACCCAUCCGGAUAAGGUUGGUCUUCUUCGCGCGUCCGUACGGUCCAAGAUGACCGUUGCCUUUCUUUCUCUUAUUCAAACUAGUUACUUGCAUAAUAUAAGAAACCCAUUUCACUCUUAACUAUUACUUAGUUAGAAUAAAAUGUCUUCUUGAUCAAUACUCCUCCUCAAGUUUAUACUACAAUAUUCAUUGUUAUAAACUUGACACUUAUGCGAGUGACCUCGUUAAAAAAAAACCUAAGAUUGGAAAACCACGUGGGACAAAACCAAUCUUAGGGAAAAAGAGUAUCACUGACAUAAGUAGGGAAGUUCUCUCAAGGGUGUGUGAGGUCUACAAGCCCAAGUUUGCCAUGAAUAAACUCGCAAAGUUGGGUACUUGCUGCCUUGGUAAAGAUAUCGGCCAAUUGGUCCGAACUCUCAGUGUAACAAGGUAAGAUAGUACCAUCUUCGAUCUUCUCUCUAGUCUUGUGGCAGUCUAUCUCCACAUGCUUGGUUCUCUCGUGAAACACCGGGUUGUUGGCGAUGUGAAUAGCCGCUUGGUUAUCGCAAUGAAAUGUGAUGGGCGUCUUUUGCUCUAUCCCAAAGUCUUUAAGAAGCGCCUUUAACCAUGUCAACUCAUUUGUAAGCUUCUUCAUAGCUCUAUAUUCCGCUUCAGCACUUGAACAUGACACCACCUUUUGCUUCUUUGACUUCCAAGUCACUAAGUUUCCCCCAAUGAAGGUGCAAAAGCCGGUUGUCGAGUGUCUAUCAUUACGAUCUCCACCAUAGUCCGCAUCACAAUACCCAACUAUCUCCGUGCUUGAGUUCUUUCCCAUCCAAAUGCCUUGGCCGGGGCUCCCUUUGAGAUACUUUAGAAUCCUACCUACCAUACUCCAAUGGUACACCGUGGACUCUUUCAUGUGUUGACUCACCUGAUUCACUGCAAAAGAGAUAUCAGGCCGAGUGUAAGUCAAAUAGAACAACUUACCCACAAGUCUUCUAUAUUGCUCCGGGCAAUGAUAUGGUCUAUCAUCCUUCUCCCCCUUUCGAUUGACCUUAUAUCCUGGCUCUAAUGGUGUUGAAACCGGUUUGGCUCCAAGCUUUCCCGUAAGUUUUAGAAGAUCGAGUGUGUAUUUCCUUUGUGAGAGAAACAGACCCUCCGGUGAUCUACAUACUUCGAUACCUAAAAAAUAUUUCAACACACCAAGAUCUUUAAUGUCAAAAGCAUUGUGUAAAGAGGUUUUGAUAGACUUAAUACCUUCCUUGUUACUCCCCGAGAUGAUCAAGUCAUCAACAUAGAUUAAGACAACUACAAUGCCUUGAUCAUUUUGGAGAGUAAACAAGGUGUGAUCGGAUUCUGACUUCUUGAAUCCAUUAGCCUUUAACGUGGAGCUUAGCUUGUGGUACCAAGCUCUUGGAGAUUGCUUUAGACCAUAUAUAGCUUUGCGGAGUCUUAACACUUUUCCCGAGGCUACCAAGUUCUCUAAACCCGGAGGAGGAGUCAUAUAGACUUCUUCUUCUAGCUCUCCUUGUAGAAAUGCGUUCUUAACAUCCAUUUGCCAUAAUUCCCAAUCCAAGUUAACAGCCAAAGAGAGAACCACUUUCACCGUAUGUUGCUUAGCUACCGGAGCAAAUGUCUCUCGAUAAUCAUCACCAUAUGUUUGUGUAAACCCUCUUGCCACUAAUCUUGCCUUGUAUCUUUCUAUAUCUCCAUUACUCUUGUACUUAAUAGUAAACACCCAUUUCGAACUCACACACUUCUUGCCUUGUGGUAGCUCUUCUUCGUCCCAUGUAUGAUUUCUUAACAUAGCUUGUACCUCAUAAUCCACCGCAUUGUCCCAUUCCUUGAUUCCCUUAGCUUCCUCAUAUCUUUGUGGGACAAACUCCACAUCUAGCUUGCUAAGGAAAGCCUUAUGUUCUUCGGGAAGAAGGUCAAUCGAACAUGUCGCUUGAAUUGGAUGAGCCACGGCUUGACAAUUGUAGUACACUCUAGUAUUCUUCCAAUUAGAUGGAGAUUUCUUCUCUCUCAUGCUCUUUCUUGGAUUCUCUCUAGUGUAGAUAGGAUCUUGUGUUGCUUGUGGAGCUUGUGGAGCUUGAUAUGUCUCAUCAUCGCUUGAAGAUUCAAUGACCUCCCCUUCAUUAGAUGGAUUCUCUUCUACCACUUCUUCACUAGACCUUUCUUCUCUACCAAUCCCUUGUUGAUUAUCCGAAGCUUCUUGUGAUAUGUCAUUACCCCUCUCUUGAGCUAUGUCAUUACCACUCUCUUGAGCUUCAAUAGUACUAUCAUUUGGUAUGGCUUCUCUUUCUUCUUGCCGAGAACAUCCAUUACUCAAAUGUUCAAGAAUAUGCCUAAGACUUCUAGCUCUAUCCGAAGUUGAAUUUGGUAAGUCUUUCACACCUUCCCAACUCUUCUCUCCGAAAUAAGCCUCAUCUUCCAUGAACUUUACAUCCCUAGAUACAUAGUACCUAUUCAUGACCGGAUCAUAGCACUUAUAGCCUCUUUGCGUUGUUGAGUAUCCAAUGAAUACACACUUAGUGCUUUUGGGCUCUAGCUUGUUCCUCAAGUCACCUGGGAUAAAAACAAAACACACACUUCCGAAUAUCUUUAAAUGAUCAAUGCUAGGACUUUGGUUAUUCAAAACUUGAAAAGGAGAUUGAUCAUUAAGGAUACGGGUUGGUAUUCGGUUUAUGAGAUAACAUGAAGUUAACACGACAUCUCCCCAAAACUGCUUUGGCAUGUGUUUCUCAAACAACAUAGCUCUUGCCACCUCCAUUAGAUGUCUAUUCUUCCUUUCGCCAACACCAUUUUGUUGAGGGUUGUAUGGACAGCUUGUUUGGUGUAGAAUUCCACAUUUUUCCAAGUGUGUUUUGAGCUUAGUGCUUGUGUAUUCAUUCUCCUCCAUUGUCUGUUCUAAGGAUCUUAAUCUUGGCAUCAAAGUGAUUAGUCACAUAAUUUUGGAAGUUUAUAAAUGCAUCAUAAACUCUAUCUUUAGAUGGAAGCAAGGUUACCCAAGUAUACUUUGAUUUCUCAUCUAUAAAUGUGACAAAAUAUUUAUGAUUAUCUCUAGAUGCACAAGGUGAGAUCCAAACAUCCGAAUGCACAAGAUCAAAGCAUUUUUCAUAAAUAGUAUUCGAUUUAGGAAAGACUACUUUACAAUGUUUUCCUAAGAUGCAUGCUUCACAUUUAGCACAAUCAUAAGAAAAACCCGGUAAAAGCAAAUUCAAAGCUCUAGAAUGAGGGUGACCAAGUCUAUUGUGCCAUAAAACAACCGAAGUUUUAACAUUGUUUGCAAUCAUAGAAGAAGCAACAUUAUUAGAGAUAGAGUUAAGAGAAGUGUCUUCAAGCACGUAGAGAUCAUCUUUAGUGCCACCUUGUCCGAACACAUUACCACUCUUAAUAUCCUGCAAUUUCACAUCAUUAGGACUAAAAAUAGCAAGGCAAUUUAAAUCUCUAGUAGUCUUCUUAACUGAGAGCAAAUUCGAAGUAAACUUAGGCAUAUAAAAGGCACUAGACCGUUUACUAAAUAGGUUUAUACUACAUAUUCCUUCAAUCGGCACAUUAUGACCAUUCGCAACUUUAACACUCCCUAAAGCCGGUUUAAUGUUCUCUAACAACUUAGGAUUACUUAUCAUAUGGUGAGAAGCUCAUGAGUCUAAUACUAAUGACUUUGAAUCAUAAGAAUUAGAAGUAAAGAGAGAGGUACCGCCGGGACUGAAUUUAGAUGCGAUGGAGUGAAUGAGAGCUUCGAGGUCCGCCUUGUUCAUCACAAUGGUUUCUUGACUUUGAGAAGAUGAUCCACAUCCCUUAUCUUGAAUCGUGGCUUGCAACGCCUUCUCUUGUUGACCAUACUGAACCAUAGCCCUCUCUUUAUUCUCUUGUCCACCGUCACUCGCAUUAGCCACAUUCGCCUUCGACUUAAGGUUCUUGAACUUCUCCGGCUUCAAAUGGGGGUGUAGAAUCCAGCAAUCUUCUUUGGUAUGACCCUUCUUGUUACAGUGAUCACAAACCGAUGCCUUCUUGUCCUUGUGUUUCACGAACCCCGCCUUGUUUGCCGUAGGUAGAUUUUCGCCUUUAGUGCCGAAUAGUCCUUGUGACCCAAACUCUUUUUGUAUCUUUGCACACACUUGCUCCAAGGUAGGAAUCUUGUCAUCCCUCAGAAUGUGUUGAAUCACAUCUUUGUAAGUAGGGUUAAGUGUCAUCAACAACCCGAAGACACGGUCUUGCUCUCGGCGAUCUGUAAGUGUUGUGGCUUCGGUGGUGAAUGGCCUUAGCAUCUCUAGUUCAGCAACUAGAGACCUAUACUUCCCAAAAUGAGCAUUGAAAUCGUUGUCUUCUUGACUUAGGCUUCCGAGAGUCUUCUUGAGCUCAUAUACCCUUGUCAAGUUUGACUCGUUACCGAAUACAUUAGCAAGUGUAUCCCAUAGUUCUUUAGAUGUCUCGCAAUAAGAGUACCCUUCCAAGAGUGAAGCCUCAAGAGAGAAAUGGAGAGCACUCUGAACCGUCAAGUCUUCUUGCGUCCAAGUCUCUUUGACCAAGCUUUCUUCCAAAGCUUUCGCUUCUUCAUAGGUAGACUCAAUGUAUUUUGUGAGCCUUCUCCCACCCAAUACAUUUGUCGUUGUUCUCUUCCAUAAGAGAUAGUUGUUUCCACUCAAAACAACCAGAAAUUUCAGAUCUUUGUAAGCCUUGCUCACGUCUUGAACCACAAGUGCCAUCUUGUAAGAGUAAAGAUUCGAUUUUGAACCGUUCAAAACUCAAAUCCGAGAUAAAGCUUCAACCUUUAGUGAUAAAGCUUCAACCUUUAGUUAUGAACCCAACCUGAACUACUUAGAAAACCUUUGAACCGCUUCAAAGAUACCCUAACUCUUAUCAAUGGAAUCCUCACCAAAGAUUUUAAGAAACUCUACCCCAAGAAAUCGCUAAGCAAAACCCAGAAAUAAAAUGACACCCGAUAUCGCACACCAAAGAUUAGAACUCAAAGAAGAAGAAUCGAAAAGCUAAGAUUAAAAGAGAAAAGAUUUAAGAACCGAACGCUCUGAUACCAUGAAAAAAUUAAGAAUCAAGUGGGAAGAAUAGAGAUGAACAUGAUGGAGAAUAAAGAGAAAGAUGAUUGAUUUUUGAUGAGAUAAAAGUUAAAAAUGAUUUGCGGCUGCACACGGUUUAUAUAGGGAGCUCACUAGGUCUAGACGGGUAUGCACAUAACCUUAAAAGCAUCCUCAUUCAGCCUAGUGAGUCACCGUGCGCUUUUGCCACUUUCCAGCUCAUGACAACGGUCAUAUACAACACGACAAGGCCGUACACGCGCUUAGCACCCAUCCGGAUAAGGGUGGUCUUCUUCGCGCGUCCGUACGGUCCAAGAUGACCGUUGCCUUUCUUUCUCUUAUUCAAACUAGUUACUUGCAUAAUAAGAAACCCAUUUCACUCUUAACUAUUACUUAGUUAGAAUAAAAUGUCUUCUUGAUCAAUAUCCAAAGCUAAGUUGUUUCUUCCCAAGAAUAUGAGGUGAUUGGAAAAUGGGUUGGCUGAUUUUUCAGUCCUAUACUAAUUGCAAUUUCAACUUUUCAACCCAAACUUUUUGUCUCUGAAAAAACCACCAUAAAAAACUUUAAUCUCAAUAAAACUACACGUACUUUCGGAUUUGUUCUUAAAACUACGCCUCCAAUUGAACCGAUCAGUUAACCGGUAAUAUCUAAUCCGGUUUGAUUUACCCAGAAUUUUGACCAAAGUUAAUCAAUUUUGACUCCAUUUUAACCCAAUUUUGAUCCAAAAACAAAUAUAAAAGAAAACAAAUGUCUUCUCUAUAAAUAAAAUUAUUAUUUUUAUUUAUUUAUUUUUAAUAAACAAAUAAAAAUAAUAAAUUAAUUUUACCAAAAAAAUAAUAUACCACAAAAUAAUAUGAAAGUAUACCACAAAAUAAUAUGAAAGUAUACCAGAAAAAAAUAUAUAUAACAAAUUUUUGGUCUAUACUUUUGUUUAUAUAACAAAAUAUACAACAACAAAAAAUAUACCAAAAUAGACCACAAAUUUUUUUUGUGCUAUAUNNNNNNNNNNNNNNNNNNNNNNNNNNNNNNNNNNNNNNNNNNNNNNNNNNNNNNNNNNNNNNNNNNNNNNNNNNNNNNNNNNNNNNNNNNNNNNNNNNNNUUGGUAAUAUAUUAUAAAUAUAUUUUUCUUUUUAAAAAAACAAAGGGGGGUUAUAUAUAUAUAUAUAUAUAUAUAUAUAUAUAUAUAUAUAUAUAUAUAUAUAUAUAUAUAUAUAUUAUUGUGAUUUUAGAAAGAAAAAUGACUUUUGAAUUUAUAAAAGAGAAAUGAUUGCCAAAAAUAAAAUGUAUAUUUUGAAUAUCACCACAAAUCAAAUUCAUUUUUAUAUAUAUAUAAUGAAUUUGGUAUAAUAUAUAUAUAAAAUUCAUACGCAUUUUUCUUUUUAAAACCCCCAUAUAUAUAUAUAUAUAUAUAUAUAUAUAUAUUAUAUAAAUAUAUAUAUAUAUAACCGACCUUUGAAUUUAUAAAAAAAAAACUGAAUCUAUAAAGAAAAAUGAAUUUAUAAAUAUCAUAAUAUAUACUUUGAUUUGUGGUGUUUAAGGAUAUAUAUAUAUAUAUAUAUAUAUAUAUGAGUUUUGCAUAUACUUUGAAUUUCAUAAUAUACAAAAUUCAAAGGUCAUAUAUUAUGAUUGCCAAAAAAAAUUAUUAUUUUAGUUUUUUGUAAUAUUACCAAAAGUAUAUACCAAAAUUUUAUUAUAUAAUUCUUUUGUGGUUUUUUUUUUUAAAUCUUUUUUUGAUAAAAUUACGUUAUAAUUUAUUAUUUUAAUUUUUUAUAAAAAUAAAUAAAUAAAUUUAUUUAUAGAGAAAAAAAAAAAUUUCUUUUAUAUUUGAUUUUGGGUCAAAAUUGGGUUAAAAUUGAGUCAAAAUCGAUUAAUUUUGGUCAAAAUUCUGGGUAAGUCAAACCGGAUUAAAUAUUAUCGGUUAAUUGAUCGGUUCAAUUGGAAGCGUAGUUUUACGAACAAAUCCGAAAGUACGUGUAGUUUUAUUGAGAUUAAAGUUUUUUUGGUGGUUUUUUCAGAGGUAAAAAGUUUGAGGUGGAAAGCUGAGAUUGCAACUAGUAUAGGGCUGAAAAAUCAGCCAACCCUUGGAAAAUUGAUUCUACCCACUUUUCUAGUAUUACCAGUUGAUAGAUUUCAGAUGCCUCUAUUUAGCUGCUAGGUGAUGUCAUAUUAGCUUCUUCAUGUUGGGAGGAGAUUGCGACAUGCAUCUCUUUUGACAUUUCAAGACCUGACAUACAUUGAGAAUGAUUAAGUUAUUUGUCUUCCCCAAUCUCUCUAGCUUUGCAGUUUCUUCUGCGAUUCCCUUUCUUUGCUUUUUUUUUUUUUUUACGUCAAACACCAUUUUAUUAAGUUAUCGGGAAGAAAAGACUUUCCUCUGGGGAGAGCCAAUCAGGAACCGAUGAGCUUACAUGGAAAAAGAUACAAUUACUGUGGAUGUCGGAUUCACACACUCAAGUAUUUUUAUUAAGUAGGAAAGAUUACUCUUGAGGGACAAAAAUGAAUAUGUAAAAACUUAUAAAUUGCUGCGAAAAUUGCUAUAGUAUUUCUUUCUUCAGAGGAAGAUCCCUUUUACAUGGCCAUUGGCCUUCAUAUUUAUACAUAGAGAAACGACAUUAAAAUGAGUAAUUAAGUACAAUUAUUCCUUCUUAAAUGUGUCCGUUUUGAUUCCUUGACUUUAAUGCUCAACGUUUGAAUUCGAGUUGACUCUGAUCCUUAUGGGCCUCGCCUUUCGGCCCAAAUGUCCUUGGACCGACUUUAAUCAUGACCUCGUCUCCGGACUCGUGUCGAGGUGCAGUCACUUCGAAUUCUCCUUAUGGUGGUUACCACUUCGAUUGUUCUUUUGACUCGUGGGUCCGAUGGGCUUUAUCCUUUAUGGGCCGCUACCCUGAUUACGUGGCAAUCUUUGGUUGGUCCUGGACCUCUGGUGCGGGAUCCGACACCAACAAUUAGCCCCCCAAGUUCUUCGAAGUGUCAUUCCAAUUCGGAGGACUUUAAAUGCUUAAAUGACCAAAGAUUGCGCUCGAAAAUCUUUCUGAUUUCCCGCCGAAAAUCUCAUCACUCCUUUAAUUUCGGCACUAGCCAUUUCUACUCGAGUGACAUCUGUCAUCAUUAUGACCGUAUCUUAAUUAUUUACUAUUAAAGCGGGAAAAAACCUUCCCACUUCUUCCACGAUUCCCAAGACGGUUUCAUGAUUAUCACCUAGCUUGAGGUAACUUUCUUUUUCAUUCUUUCUUUUACUCUUGAUCAUUGUGGUUAAAACUCCUUCUUCUUCUCUCUCCAAAUUUUCUUUUUUGGCGAAACUUGAAAUUCCCAAUGACUUCCGAUUCCGAUAGACCCGAGUCUCCGUCCUUCGAUGAGAGGCGUUCUAGCAAUGAUGAGUGCACCCGCCCUAAUGACAUUGCCGGUCCGCACUAUAGAUCCACCUGCACCCUUCAAUCCCUUGAGCGAUUGAAGGGACUCUGCCAAAUCCCACCGGGAAUUAUGGCAGAGGCGCAGAUAGCUGAUCCUACGGAGUCCCUAGAAAGCCACCGCGACGGCUACUUCUGUGUAUACGAGAUCUAUUUUAAAGGUUGCGGGCUGACCUUUCCUCUUCCCGAAGCCCUAGUUCGAUACCUAGCGGCUCUUGAAAUUGCUCUUCCUCAAUUAACCCCUAAUCUUCUUCGUACUAUCCUCGGAAUUAUAACAAUCGCGGCGGAGGCCGGAUAUGUUAUCGGAGUCACUGAACUAAAUGAGCUUCUAAGCGUAAGAAGUUCAUCGAAGAAGACGGGGUACUUCUCAGCGUAUCCGAACGCUAAUAGAAACAUCAUCUCGCACCUUCCAAACAAGGAUGAAAAUUGGCACCAUCCUUGGUUUCUGAUUAAGAAAACUCCCGCUUCGAUUGGAAAUCUUGCAAAUUUACUCCCAUCGAAGUGGUCUGCAAAGCCUGGUAGAGAUUAGGUCGCAUAUAUCUUUUCCGGUUGUUUUAUUAUCUUUAUUGACUAAAACUGUUGUUUCAUUUCGCAGCUUUCAUCGCUUCCAUCCUCCCAUCCGAAGGGUUCAUCGAAUUCUUCAAGAUAAUCCUCGAAGGGGAAACCCUUUGGAAUUCUUUCACUCUUGAACGAUUCCUAGAAGCUAACCACAAGCUCAGGAUGAGUCCACCGGGUCAACUUCACCAACUUCCGCCUCCUCCCUCAACUCAGGGGAUGUCAUCUCGGGCUUUUGCGGCCAAGCGUAAGGUGCUUUCCAAACCGGUAGCUGAGGCUUGUGAGGAGAAGAAAAAGUUUCUCGCGACUUCUAUAGAUAAGAAGGACUACAGUAGGACCCUGCUGGUUGAUGAUGGCAGCACCGAAGGAGCCAGAUCUGUUGCUUCUUUCAGAUUAACUCCCCGUCGUGAUCAUCGUGACUCACGUUCUCCUCGGAGGGACCGAUCUCCUCGCCGUGAUUCACCUCGUCCCCCCCGAGAUGUCUUUAGCAACAAACCACUUAAGAACUUGGUUCGUAGGAAGAGAGACAAGUCCUCUCGUAGUGAUUCUUCCCCGCGAAGGGAGAAGUCAAGGCCCCGGACUGACCGUUCACCUCGAUCAUCCCCUCCUAUUGAACCAAUGGGUCCUCCACGACCGGUUGAAAUGUCUUCCUCUUCCCUGCCUGAAAGUAAAAAGACUGCACGGAGCGCAUCUCCAACAAAAGGAGAUUCUGAAUCCCGAGAUGCUUCCUCGAGGUUAAAGCCUGCUCUUGUCCCUCAAGUCAAAUCGCUUUCAGGUUUGAUGAUUUACACAGUCUCAAAAGUUUUUAUCUCUAUUCAGAUUCCAAUUUUUACAACUCUUCCUCCUUUGUAGCUAUGGAGAAGGAAGGCAGCGUUUUCCGAUGCUUCAAGACCCGAUCGGGUUCGACCUUGCCAGACUUCGACAAGUGGCGCCCUGCGAUUCGUGAACGCUAUUUGCUCCAUGCUUAUCAUUCAUCUCGGGUUAGUUUCGCUUUAAUUUUCCGAUUGUGCUGCCGUUCAUCGAAAUGCCUCAUCAUCUCAAUUUCAUGCAUAAUGGCAGGCUAACGGUGAGCUUAACGACAUGGUUGAACAUUAUGAGGGGCUGGUCCUUGGUCAGGAAAAGGAGAUUGACGCGUGGAAGAAAAAACUUUCUGCUCUUGAGGCUGAACUAAGCUCUUCUACCGGCUCUAAGCACGACCUGGAGGACAAAGUCGACAGUUUAACAUCCGAGCUGGCGAAGAUUAAGGGGGAGCUGCAGGAUCAGUACGACCAAAAUUUCAAACUCCAGGAUGAGCUUUCUGGUGUUCAGGGUAGGCUUCACGAAUCCGAAUCAACCGCCGAUACCCUGAAUAACCAACUCAUUGAGCUUAACGCGAAGUACAAGGCGAUUGCCAAAUUGCGUGAUUCCGAGUUGGCAAGGUCGGCAUCGAAAGCCAGAAAGGAAGUUAAGGGACGCGGGAUGGAGUUGAUCCAAGGGGCCAUCCGCUUCAUGCAGACCGAGAAGGCUAGGUCAGAUUUGGAAUCAGACGUCAAGGAGCACGAGAGCAACCUGAUUCUGUUGGAUCAAAUCCAUGAUACGGAAUUCUCCGAGGAGCAAGAAAGGACCGAACUGUCAACUAAUCUUUCUGAAAAACGGAGUCGCUUGGCAGCUCUUCCCACUUCGACCUUCAACCCGCUUGACUUUGAGGAAUUCUUCACAGAAUCUCCUCCUAUAAUUGAAUCGGGUCUAGACUGGGCAGGUAACUUUUGGCUCUUGAUACUCAUUACCUUUUCUUACCUUGUACCUUUGAUUGACUGGAAUUAUUUUUCCUAGGCUCAAGUGAAACGGAAGACGUUGUCCCACCCGAAGUUCCUGCGGUGCCGGAGGAUGGUUGUACUGCGGAGGGUGGUCAGGGGGCUUCAUCUGAUCAAGCGCCAAUUAAGGAGGCGAGUGAAACUUUGACAACUGAGCCGGAGUCCGAGGUGGAGGUCGAUCCGUAGUGGCUGUGUCCACUUUAAACUGGGGAUUGUCCCAUUUAGUUUAAACUUAAUUUCGAACUUAUUUUUUGCCUAAGGAGGCUUUAAUAUUUCUUUUGAACAAGAUAUUUGCCUGAGUAGGCUUUUAAACCUUUCUAGGUUAUGACCCAAGGGGGUUUGGUUAAAACUAUGUGCGGGUUUGCAAAGUCCGCUUUUAACCUUUUGUGGCCUUGUGGUUAUGCUUUCGAGAUUUUUAGGUUGAUCAGACCUUUCUCUUUAGAAUGCGAGAACUGAGCUCGGCUUAAAGCGAGUUCCCCACUUCGGGUUUAGUCAACUCGAUAAAUUUAUUGGGCUUGAGCCUUAGAAAAUUUUGUAGUUAAUGCGCCGGUUGCUCUCUCCCUUCUUAUUUCUUAAAAGUAGGGAAAACGGCUCGUCUUUAAUGCAAUAACUGCCUUUUCUCGAUUUUCCAAAAAUAGUUUAAACCACUCGGGCACACUACCAUUAUUGGAUUUAUGGUUCCAAGACAAACCCUAAAUCAUUAUAAAUAAAGGCUUACCUACUUCUAAGCUUUAUUUAAACACGAUUUUAGAAUCUUACUUGAGAAAUAUUUCGAGAAUGGAAAACAAAAAAGUAGCCCCCAUUGAUCCCGGCAGCCCACUUUUCUUGUCCGGCGAUGGCUUUGAACCGGCCGGCGUUCUUUUCCCCCACGUCGUCUUUCACUUUCCUUCAAAGGAGAAGAAAGAGGCUUGCGAUUUUAUUGACAAGGUAAAUAUUUAAAGUUUUUGAUUUAAAAACUUUUUGUUUCAUCUUAUUCAUUCAUCUUUAUGCUAGGUUGCCGACAAGCACCGUCGCUUGUGUGAAGAGAGGCAACGGCUGGGCCUUAAAAGGCAAACACUCGAGGCUCGCAUUGCUCGGGUGGAGAGGAAGAUACGGGCCUUGGAAAGUGAUCCCUUUCAAUGGGAAUGGCGGAACUUUGACUCUGUCGCUGAGAUCCCGAAGGUGCUUCGGAUGUAUCUCCGCGCUAAAGGAGUCCCGGGUCCCGUGAACGCCCCCGUCUGCGCCGUUCCAUCUGACAGCGAAGAAGAAGACGAAGAGGAGGUCAGCACCUGUCGGAAACGCGUUCGGGAUCAUCCCGAAGUGGAUGCCAAGAACAAGGCGUCCACUUCGAAGACUAAACUGGCGAUGAAGGAGCCUGUUCCUGAGCCUCUUCCAUAAAUGUUCUCUAACUUCUUUACUUAUUUAAACUCGUAAUGGGCUUCGGCUCCUUUUUAUUUAUGGAAACAUUUGCAACUUUCCUUUCUUUUCAAAUAUUCUCGGAGAUGCGUCUUUUAAUGCAGGAUCUGUUCGAGGGCAUAAAUCUCUCCGCGAAUCACUCCAUUCCUAGGAUAGAACCCGCAGCUUGCUAGGGAUAUGACGUUCCUAUAAAUUAUAGUCUCAAUUUCCCUUUACUCCUCACCAUUCUUUUCAUUUUAGUAGGUAUGGAGUUCAAUCUUCGCUGUUCAGAAUCUAUGCCCGACUUCUCCAGAAUCGGAAUGAUAAACGAAGAUGUUCCAAAUGAGCCAAGCAGGCAGCCUCCUCCACUUCGCGGCUUCUUGAGAUCUCAGAUCCGAGCCCCAUGUGCUUUGAUCAGGGAUCUCCCAAUCAGAGACCAAGGAACAGCGACGGCGUUCAUAGAGGCGCUCGAGCUUCAACACCGGAAGCUUAUGUUGCAAAAGAGGAGACUCCGGAAGAGGAUUAACCGGAUGCAACGCAUGCUUACUAUGGUGUCAAGAGAUCUUCACAUCCUUGAAUCUCACCCUGGAGAGUGGAUUGAGCUUGGAAUCUCUUAUUUUGCUCGAAUUCCGCACUGCAUGAUGCCAAUCCUCGAUCUUGCUGGUCAAGGAGUUGAAGUGUUCUGCUCGUCAACAAGAUUUUCAUAGUCCGAAGUGUACGAUGAGGGACAUUCCGUCUUUUGAAUAAACGCUCUAUUUCCAAUCUCUUGUAUGUUCGCAUAGCCGAACCUUUAUUUGCUUCAUUUGUUCGCACAGUCGAACCUUUUUCCUUUAAUAAAGAAAUAAAACAAAUUUUUAUUAAUAGCUGAACUCGUUUCCGAGCUGCCUACGUACCCAUUUCGGGAUCAAGUCACACCGUAGUUCAUGUACAUAAACAAUGCAUGUAGCUUUAAACAUAAAACUUCUUUAGGUUGAUCACAUUCCAAGGUCGCUUGACUGGAUUGUCUUCUAAGUCUUUCAACCUAUAAACACCGUUCCGAACCACUUCGGUAAUAAUAUAAGGUCCUUCCCAAUUAAUACCGAGUUUACCGGCACCUUCUUCUUUUUUGUUGUCAAAGACGCGCCUUAAUACAUAAUCUCCCACGAAGAACGGUCUACUUUUAACUUUAGAAUUGUAAUACCGGGCUGCUGCCUGCUGGUAAUUCUGGAUCCGAAUCAAAGCUUGAUCACGUCUUUCAUUUAUGGUAUCUAGUGAAUCAUUAAGCAUUGCUGAAUUUUCUUCCUCAUUUAACGGUGCUUCUGUUCGGCGAAGUCCGGGCACAUUGAGUUCAGCUGGUACUACCGCCUCCAUGCCAUAAACCAAAGAGAAUGGAGUUUCCCCUGUAGGUCGCCUAGGGGUUGUACGAUAGGCCCACAAGACGGGUUGGAGUUCUUCAUACCAUCCUCCCUUUAGAUGACUUAAGCGUUUCUUGAGAUUGCUUAAUAUUGUCUUGUUCGCGGCUUCAGCUUGACCGUUCCCUUGCGGAUAUCGUGGAGUAGAAUAACUAACUUUGAUUCCUCAGUCCGCACAAAAGGCAUCAAACUCGUGUGAAAUGAAUUGUGGUCCAUUAUCAGUGACUAUUUCGUAUGGAACUCCAUGUCGACAUAUAAUGUUUUUCCAAAUAAAGGUCUUCACCGCCGAAUCCUUGAUACCAACAUACGCCUCAGCUUCAAUCCAUUUCGAAAAGUAGUCCGUAAGGACUAAAAGGUAUUGUACACCUCGAGUUGAUUUGUGCAAUGGUCCAAUGAUGUCCAUUGACCACCUCAUAAACGGGUAUGGGGCGGAAAUGGAGGAGAAUAAUUCCGACGGUUGAUGGAUCAAUGGUGCAUGGAGUUGGCAGCGCUUGCAUCUUUGGGCGAACUUAACACAAUCUGUAAUCAUAGUGGGCCAAUAAUAUCCCAUUCUUUUAACUUUAAAAGCCAUAGCCCUUCCUGAAGAAUGACUCCCACAUAAUCCUUCAUGCACUUCGCUCAUAACGAUUUCGACUUCGGGCCCAAAAAUGCAUAAUAGGUAAGGGUCACUGACACCUCGUCUAUACAAUGUGUCUUUUGACAGACAAAAUUUCGCACUAACGAUUCUCAUUUUUCUGGCUUGCCACUUAUUCUUUGGGAGCUCGCCUGUCAUAAUGUAGUGCUUUAUUGGCUCCCUCCAGUCAGCCCCCCAGUCUUUAGCCGGAAUUUGGUCAACCUUGUGAAAUAAUCGUGGCUCUGGCUCGGGAUGUUCGUUUGGUUCAAGAACAUCCUCCUCGAUUAACGGUUCGGUUUCUAACAUUGUUUCUGGAAUCACAUCUUCAGCUAAGACAACGGGUUCCUUGUUAGAUGUAUUUGAUCCCUUUGACUUCCUCCGUUUGUUGGGUGGCGGUUCGAUUUCUGGUUCGCCACGGUCGCGUGCCGCUGCUCGAGACCUUGUAAUGGCGAGGGUUUCUUUGCUAUCUUGAAUGCUUCGUUCCGAAAUGCAUUCCACUGGAAUAACUCUUUUCAACUCAGGAUCUGAUGUUGACGCUAAUGUGGCAAGUGCAUCCGCAGUUGUAUUCUCUCCCCGAGGUAUGCGGAUUAAUUCGAAUUUCGAGAAAUUUUUAGAUAGAUCCUUCACCACUUCGAGGUAUGCUUCCAUUCUUGAGUCUUUGGCUUCAUAGUCUCCAUUAAACUGGUUAACUACUAAUUGCGAAUCGCAAUAAGCCACUAUUUUUUUAGCACCAACUCCUUGUGCCAAUCGAAGUCCGGCAAUCAGGGCUUCGUAUUCUGCCUCGUUGUUGGAGGCAUUGAAUAACAAUCGGAAUGACUGUUCUAGAAUUUCUGAUGUUGGAGACUCCAACUUGAUUCCCACUCCGGAUCCUUGUUUUGUUGAAGACCCAUCUACGUGUAAUUUCCAAGUUUGGUUCUCCGGUUGUUCUAUCGUUCCAGGUAUUGGUAGUUCGGUCAGGAAAUCUGCUAAGACCUGAGCCUUCAUACUGAUCCGGCUUUUGAACUCUAUGUCGUACUCGCUUAAUUCCACCGCCCAUUUCGCCAAACGUCCGGACUGACUUGGACUAUGAAGUAUUGUUCGGAGUGGCUGGUUGGUUAAUACUUCAAUCGGAUGGGAUUGAAAGUACGGGCGUAGCUUCCGAGCCGAGGUCACCACCGCGAGUGCGAGUUUUUCCAUCAUUGUAUAUCUGGUUUCUGGAUCCGUCAUCGACUUACUUACAUAGUAAAUCGGCUUCUGUUCCCCGCGGUCUUCCCGCACCAAGACUCCACUAAUCGCAUGGUUUGAAACUGAUAUAUAUAAAUAAAGCUUUUCAUCCACUUCUGGCUUAGACAAUAUGGGUGGAGUGGUUAAAUAUGCCUUAAGCUGCCCAAAAGCUUCUUCACACUUCUCAUCCCAAAGGAAUCCUUUGUUUCCUCUUAGGAUUUGGUAGAAAGGUAACGACUUAUCUGUUGAUCUUGAGAUAAAACGAUUCAAAGCCGCGAUCCGCCCAGUCAACCGUUGUACUUCCUUGAAGUUUCUUGGAGAUGGCAUAUUUAGAAAAGCGUUAAUUUGAUUUGGAUUGGCUUCAAUCCCUCUUUCUGUCACGAUAUAGCCAAGAAAUUCUCCGGAUGGGACUCCAAAUGUGCACUUCGCCGGGUUCAGCUUCAUUUGAUAUUUAUUGAGAAUAUCAAAACAUUCCUCUAAAUGCUUAACGUGAUCCUCUUUCUUUAACGAUUUAACCAACAUAUCAUCUAUGUAGACUUCCAUUGUUUUCGAGAUGAUUAUGGAACAUCUUGUUAACCAACCGUUGAUAUGUUGCUCCUGCAUUUUUCAAACCAAAAGGCAUUACCUUGUAACAAUAGAUACCUCUAUCAGUGAUAAACGACGUUUUUUCUUAGUUUUCGGGGUUCAUCAUUAUUUGAUUAUAACCCGAGAAGGCAUCCAUGAAUGUUAACAGCUCGUUCCCAGCGGUGGACUCUACAAGUCGAUCUAUAUGUGGGAGCGGGAAACUAUCUUUGGGACAUGCUUUAUUGAGGUCUGUGAAGUCGAUGCAAACCCUAUCCUUCCCAUUCUUUUUCUUGACAACGACAGUGUUUGCUACCCAUUCCGGAUAUUGCACUUCUCUUAUGGACCCUAUCUUUAAAAGUUUAUCCACUUCGUCAUUUACUAUUUUCGCUUGCUCCACUCCAAGCUUUCUUCUUUUUUGUUUCACCGGUUUGAAGCUUGGAUCCAGGCAUGUCCGCUGCUGACCAUGCAAACGAUGUUUUGUUUUUCCUUAAGAGUUCGAUCAAAGCUUCUCUUAUUUGGCCAGUCAAAGUUGCCCCAAUUCGAACUUUCCGGUCCGGCUCGUCUUCUUCCAACACCACUUCGAUUACUACAUCAUCUUUCUUUUGCCCGUUAGGAAAUUUUGUUCUUAGUCCCUCUUUUUCGGGCUUCGUUAAUUGCUAUUGAAUCUUCAUACGGUGGCUAGCUAGAUAACACGUCCGUGAAGCUUCUUGGUCUCCCCGAAUUGUUUCUACUCCUCUUGACGUUGGAAAUUUGAUACAUUGAUGAUAUGUAGAGGGGACUGCUUUCAUUUGAUAAAUCCAGGGAGUACCGAGGAUAAUGUUGUAAGCUGCGGGCUUAUCGAAGACAACGAAGUCCACGAUCUUCGAUACUUUUUUGGCAAGGACCGGUAGCUUGAUUGUCCCGAGAGACAUGGCUGAUUCACUUGUGAAUGCAACUAAUGGAGACGGAGGCCCCACUAUAUCCGCCCGACUAAUUCCCAUUCUUUCUAGAGUACUUAAAAAGAUCAAAUCGACCGAACUGCCUGUAUCUAUAAGGAUCCUUGAUACUUCGAAGUUGGCAACGUCAAGGGUAAUGACUAGAGCAUCAUCAUGAGGUCUUUCGAGGUACCGCGUUUCUUCUUCAUUAAAUGAUAUUGAUGCACCUUGAAAAUCGACUUCUUCGCUUAAGCUUGCUUUGAGUAGGAUAUUUCGUCUAUGUUUCUUGAUGGAACUUAUCGAAUCUCCGCAAAAUUUGGAACCUCCUAGAAUAACAUUGAUCUUACCCUUAGAAUUCUUUGGUUCUUCCUCGUUGGUUAACCUUGGUCUUUUAGAAUUUUGAUCUUUGGAACUUUCCUUUGCUUCGUGGUAUUCCUUCACAAAAUCUUUUAUAUCGAAUUUGGAAAGAUCUCCACUAGCCCAAAGCUCUGCGAGGUGCCUUUUAAGAACGCUGCAAUCCUUGGUUAAAUGUCCGGUUACUUUAUGAAUGUCGCAAUAUAGACUUUCAUCACGGACCCAAGUGUUUGAUCUUCCUUUCCCUUGGAAUUGCUUUCCGACGGUACUGUUGAAGGGUUGCGACCCAAAUUUCCUUGGUCCUUUGCUCUCCCUAGGCUCGAACUUCUUGGUAGGGACGGUGAUUGCCGGCUUUUCUUGUUUAUUUCUUUUGGCAAAACUUUCUUUUUCGUCCUCUACCUCCAUCCAGUUGUUCGCGCGAAAGAGUGCAUCCUGAAUUGUGUCUGGUUUAUGAAGUAUUAAGUCUUCUUUAAACCUUGAAUCAUGUCGCAAUCCUUUUCGUAGGGCAGAUAAAGCUGAUUGCUGCGAGAUUCUUGGGAGCUUUGACAGCACUCCCUUGAAUUUGGUGAUGAAAACUCGAAGUGACUCAUUAGAUCCUUGCGAUAAGUUCCAAAGAUCGGCAUCCGAAACGCUUUUAUCCAUAAGGAUGGAGUAUUGCUUUAAGAAUACGGCUGAUAGUUCGUCAAAAUUGCUGAUCGAACCCGGCUCUAAUUGGGUGAACCACAUUAGAGCUUGGCCACAUAGAUUCUCCGAAAAAAGCUUGUAGUAGCCUGCGUCCUCAUCAGCUUCAUCCAAUUCGACUCUUCCAGCAGCGAUCAGAAAAGCUGCGAGAUAGCUUUUUGGAUCCUCCAAUCCGCUGUAAGGGUCCAACUUGAGUUUCCGGGAAUCUUUGAUCCUCAAACUUGCAAUUCGCGAGAUGAAAGGUGUUCGCCUAGCUUCUUCAAUGACUCGAUUGAUGUCUGGCUCCGAACUUGUAGCUUGAUGAAAUUUUGAUUUCAUUUCUUUUAAUUCCUGGCUAACCUUCCUCAUGGUCUCGAACUGGUCAUGGUUCUCCUGCUCGUAUUGAGCUGCAAGUUGUUCUUCAUCUCCGAGCUGUGUCUCCUCUUCCAAUGUCUGAACUACAUUAUUAGUAGCACCGGGAGUUGUUUAUCCGCUGGUUUCAUUUCGUGCAGCGGAACUUGGCGAGUUGAAUAUCCCUCUUCGGAUUCCCACAAGGUUUCCUGCACUUAAAGAGCGAACACGAGUUUGUAUAGUAUUGACGUUUUGACUAAGAGAUACCUGGGAUGUUUGCAACGUAUCGACGACCUUUUCCACAUCCGAGAACUUUUGUGAUAUGUCCGACAUGGUUUGCUGCAUAGCUUUGAGGGUUUCAGCCAAUGAUGUCUCAACGGUGUCUCCUCCGGACAUUGUUGCUUAUCUCGGAAGUGUAAUAAAGAAAAAUCUGACCACUCAAGAAUCCUAUUUCCCCACAGACGGCGCCAAAAUGUGGAUGUCGGAUUCACACACUCAAGUAUUUUUAUUAAGUAGAAAAGAUUACUCUUGAGGGACAAAAAUGAAUAUGUAAAAACUUAUAAAUUGCUGUGAAAAUUGCUAUAGUAUUUCUUUCUUCAGAGGAAGAUCCCUUUUACAUGGCCAUUGGCCUUCAUAUUUAUACAUAGAGAAACGACAUUAAAAUGAGUAAUUAAGUACAAUUAUUCCUUCUUAAAUGUGUCCGUUUUGAUUCCUUGACUUUAAUGCUCAACGUUUGAAUUCGAGUUGACUCUGAUCCUUAUGGGCCUCGCCUUUCGGCCCAAAUGUCCUUGGACCGACUUUAAUCAUGACCUCGUCUCCGGACUCGUGUCGAGGUGCAGUCACUUCGAAUUCUCCUUAUGGUGGUUACCACUUCGAUUGUUCUUUUGACUCGUGGGUCCGAUGGGCUUUAUCCUUUAUGGGCCGCUACCCUGAUUACGUGGCAAUCUUUGGUUGGUCCUGGACCUCUGGUGUGGGAUCCGACACCAACAAUUACGGGCUCGGGCUUUCUUAGCUAAGCAAACAGCCCGACCAUUAAAAAUACGAGGAAUAAACCUAGACUGAAGAGUUACAGCAAAAGAUAUAGAAAUACUACUAAUAAGGAGUUCCACCACGAAGGGAGGAUUCUCGUAGAUGCGGAGGGCUGUCCUUUUCUAGAAUGCCAAGCUCCAUGGUAACCAUUGCCACAAGGAAUACAAAAGAUUCCAAGCAGUUUUAAACUUCCAAUAUUGCGCCUGAAGUGCAUGAGCAUUCAUUCCCUGAAAAGGGGGGUCGCAAAAAGGACGAGAAGAAAAUCUCGCGAUCCAAAGUCCAAAGUCGUCGAUAAAGAGAAAGGAGCGAAACCAAACAAUUGUAAGCAGAAUUCUCGAACCAAGCAAAGAGAUACACAGAAGGUUAGUGUCCGUGAGUAUGAAUGAUGUAAAAGGGUACAAAAAACCUCCUCGUCUCGUGAAGGGAAUCACCAUAGAAAGCAUAGUGUUUUGGAACUCAACUAAGCUUCUCAGGAGAAGGCACAUUAGACGUUUACCAUGCCUGUGAGAGAUGCUAGCUGAAGAGGUCUCUCUUUCAUCAAAGAGGAAGUUAAACCCAUGUCUUCACGGGAGGAAUUAAUCGAGUCGGGAAAAGAUAGAUCUAGGGUCAAUAUUCCAAUCAUGCCCUGACCACCUUGAUUCAUUUUCCCAACCUUGAAAACUGACUUAUUGCAACCAAACGCCAUUGGCCUUAGCAAGCUGUGAUUACCCAAAUGAAGAAUGUGGUUGGUUUCACACCUUAAUAUUCGAUCCCUCUUAUUAUCGCGGUUCUUUGAAACCGGAUUUUCAAAGUCGCAAGAUAAGAGCAUCCAAAUUUUCGAACAAGGUCUCUUAAUAACCGGCAAUUGAUCACUCCCAAAAAAUAGAGUGGUCAGAGCGAAAUUACUAUCCAAUCGAUAAUGAUAUCCAUUGAAAAUUUGCGGAUUCUUAUUCUUAGAAACAUCUAAACAGAAACAUACUAAUCUUUUUAGUUUCAACAAGCCCAAAAACAAAGGGACUAACCACUAGCCCAAAAACCAGGAAGACAAAAGCUGGGCCAAAUUCAUUAGUAUGAGCAAGAGAUGACCCAUAUUCAUUAUGUAUUUUCGUGGCCUCAUCAGAUCUGGAGGAAUGAUGCAAAUUGCGGCAACUGAUUUAAAAGAACUAAAACGGUACUUGGGGGAAGCCGCAGAACCGGCGGAGGAUGCGGAGGAGAGUUUCGCGGUGGUACACGGUGGUAAAGAUCUACGGAGAACGCCCGAGAAAAUUCUAGAUUCGACGGAGAGAUUGGUUAUGAGAUGAGUCGGAAGUUGGAGGUCUAUAAGUUCGCGUCGUUUGUGAUAAAGAGACGACGGAGUGUAUGUAAUCAUGAGAGAAAACAGAGAGUUUUGGAGCUCAACUAAGCUUCUCAUCAGGAGAAGACACAAUAGAAAUUUGCUUCGCCAGUGAGGGAUGCUAGCCGAAAAGGUCUCUCUUUCAACAAAGAGGAAGUUAAAGCCAUGUCUCUCCUCAGGGGAGGAAAGAAUGGAGUCGGAAAACAAAAGAUCCAUGGUAAACAUUCCAGUCAUGCCUUUAUCACCUUGAUACAUACUCCCAAUCUUGAAUAUUGACAUGUUGAAACCGGACACCAAUGGCCAUAACAAACUAUGAUUACCAGCAGUGUGAAUGAGUUUGGUUUUACGCCUUAAUAUCUGAUCCCAUAUAUUCUCGCGGUUCUCUAAAACCGGAUUUUCAAAGUAGAAAAAUAAGAGUAUCCCCAUUGCCGAACAAGAUCUCUUGAUAAACGACAAAUUAUCACUAUCAAACAAUAGAGUGACUAGAGCAAAAUUACUACUACAUAAACAUGGGGAUCGUUUAGGUUUCAACAUGCCCAAUAACAAAGAGUCUAAACACUGGCCCAAAAACCAGGAAGGCAAAAGCUGGCCCAUGUUUAUUAGCCUAAGUAAAACCUGGCCCAAAUUCAACAGGUUCCUUACUGGGCUCUUCAGGCCCAAUAACAAAAAAUAUAUUCUCUGACCCAAAAACCAGGAAAGUGACCGGCCCACUACGAUUAGGGUUUCGUCCCUAACUCGAGAAGGACCCAUACAAACGAAACAGCGGCGGCGGUUAAACGGAGAGGCGAAAAACACCGAUGAAAAAUCAUUUCGGGCUGUUGGAGCCGAUCUCGAAUACAGAGACUGUUGCUUUGGACUCUCGGUGGAGGAAAUUGAUAGAAACUGAUUUUUACAAAUGAGCCAUAAGGCCAAAUUUCCUACAAGCCCAAUAAAAGUCCAUAACCAAAGAUUACUGGACCAAAUCCAACAAAUUCUCAAUAUGAUGGGCCAAAGUGGCUUGAAGCCCAGAAAACAUGCAAAUCCAGAAAGAUUGUUGGGCCAAGCCCAUAGUUGAUUUAAAAUUUGAAACCCUAAUCCACCUAGAUCGAAGGCGCAGCGGCGGCUGCCGACUGAGGCGAGGUUGACGGAUGAGACAUCCUUCCGAUUAAGGAGACACCUAUCUAAAAAUAUUCUCACCGGUGUGAUGAGCAACUGGUGGAGGAUGAAACAAGUUCUCGUCGGGAGAGAGCACCAGAGGUGUGAGAGAGAAGCCACAACGACGAGAUCGAGAUCUCCGGCAACCGGAAUUGGAAAGCCCACCAGAUACAUCCCGAUCCAGAUGGUGGCGACGAAAGCUAGCGGUAGAGGAUGGAUCCAACGAUGUAUUAAGAAGUAAUGGAAAAAACUUCGGAGAUACGUCCGAGAAGAGAACAAAGAUACAUCGGAGUAGUACCCAGACGAGCACACACACUGGAGGCGAGGUAUGACACAACAACCGGUCACCAUCUUUAACGGAAAUCCGAGCUUCCACGUUUUGGAAAUAGAUCUCACCGGCGACCAUGUCGAUCGAUGGAGGGUGGAAAAAGAUAUCACCGGAAUAGGAGACCGGUGGAGCUUUGAAGUUCUUGAAAGCGUGUUUAAAAAAUCUCCGACCACCAGAAAUGAAAUCGAAGUGAGAGGGCGGUGGUGGUCUGGAAGGUAACAAAAACCUAUAAAACGAUUGUGAAAAGAGAGUAAAAGAUGGUUUGAGAAAUCCCGACGCCGGCGAGCAACGGCUCCACCGGCGUCGGAAAUCAGAUUCAGAAUUUGCUCCUCGAUAAUUGUGCCUGAGAGAGACUCAUGUUACUGUCUCUUGCUCCCUGCAUUCAUCGAUCACAGCAAUAAAAGAAAAAUGACUUUUGAAGUUAUAAAAGAAAAAUGAUUGCCAAAAAUAAAAUGUAUAUUUUGAAUAUCACCACAAAUCAAAGUAUAUAAUAUCACCACAAAUCAAAUUCAUAUAUAUAUAUAUAUAUAUAUAAUGAAUUUGGUAUAAUAUAUAUAUAAAAUUCAUACGCAUUUUUCUUUUUAAAACCACCAUAUAUAUAUAUUAUAUAUAAAUAUAUAUAUAACCGACCUUUGAAUUUAUAAAAAAAAAACUGAAUCUAUAAAGAAAAAUGAAUUUAUAAAUAUCAUAAUAUAUACUUUGAUUUGUGGUGUUUAAGGAUAUAUAUAUAUAUAUAUAUAUAUGAGUUUUGCAUAUACUUUGAAUUUCAUAAUAUACAAAAUUCAAAGGUCAUAUAUUAUGAUUGCCAAAAAAAAUUAUUAUUUUAGUUUUUUGUAAUAUUACCAAAAGUAUAUACCAAAAUUUUAUUAUAUAAUUCUAUUGUGGUUUAUUUUUUUUUUAUCUUUUUUGAUAAAAUUAAGUUAUAAUUUAUUAUUUUAAUUGUUUAUAAAAAUAAAUAAAUAAAUUUAUUUAUAGAGAAAAAAAAAAUUCUUUUAUAUUUGAUUUUGGGUCAAAAUUGGGUUAAAAUAGAAUCAAAAUCGAUUAAUUUUGGUCAAAAUUCUGGGUAAGUCAAACCGGAUUAAAUAUUAUCGGUUAAUUGAUCGGUUCAAUUGGAAGCUUUUACGAACAAAUCCGAAAGUACGCGUAGUUUUAUUGAGAUUAAAGUUUUUUUUGGUGGUUUUUUCAGAAGUAAAAAGUUUGGGAUGGAAAGCUGAGAUUCCAACUAGUAUAGGACUGAAAAAUCAGCCAACCCUUGGAAAAUUGAUUCUACCCACUUUUCUAGUAUUUACCAGUUGAUAGAUUUCAGAUGCCUCUAUUUAGCUGCUAGGUGAUGUCAUAUUAGCUUCUUCAUGUUUGGAGGAGAUUGCGACAUGCAUCUCUUUUGACAUUUCAAGACCUGACAUACAUUGAGAAUGAUUAAGUUAUUUGUCUUCCCCAAUCUCUCUAGCUUUGCAGUUUCUUCUGCGAUUCCCUUUCUUUGCUUCUUUGAAUCUUGUUCUUCUUCAACAACCGCACGAGAGCUUAAGAUUGGACUAGAACAUGAAUUAGGUAUUAUUAAUAAGUUACCAUUAAAUUUCAAAUUCAACCAUGUGACAUGAAAUAGUUUAAAAAUUUGAAACUAUCCGUUAUGAACAAUAAUUCCUUAUUGGUGGUAUGUUAAAAUCUAUUAAUAAAUAACUAUACUACAAAAUAAAUAAAAAAUACGAUAGAGAAAAUAAAUUAAUCAAUUAAUUUUGACAAAACCAAUAUAUAUAGCCCUAAAGCUGAAAAAGAGAUCCAACGGUGGAGAAAGCUGCGUAGAUAUUGAAGAGCCAAAAGAAGGAAUCUAACGGUGGAAGGAAUAGCGUCAAACCUAAGCCAAAACCUCCCCAAAUUCUCCUUAUUAAAACCCCAUCUCUCUCCAUAGUCCCUCUCGCCGCAUCGCUUCUUAAACCUCGACGACAUCAUCCAUCGUCUGACUUCGCGCUCUCCUCUCUCGAAUUCCGAAAACAUGGUGAACAUUCUCUUCGACUUUGCUUAUAUCUUCGUCUUCUACAUAUUUAGAUUUAUAUUUCUUCGUUUCUUGAUCUAGGAUUUUUGCAGUCUCAGAUCUCACGAGAUCGCUUAAUUUCGUUGUUGUUUCUUUUCUUUGGUUUUUCUAAAUCCGUUGUGAAUAUCUUGUUCAGGCUCUUCCUAACCAGCAAACCGUAGAUUACCCUAGCUUCAAGCUCGUCAUCGUUGGUGAUGGAGGCACAGGUACGCUUCUGAAAUUUGAUCGUAUUUUUUCAUUGUCCUCAUCGGAAAGUAUUCUUGUUUAAGAGACGGAUUUGAGAUUUUGAUGAUGUACUGAUUGGAGUUGUACGAUUGGUUUUUGAUAAUAUCAAUGCUUGGUUACUUUGUUGAGCAUAUCUCUGCGAAAACGAUUCUUAGAUAAUCCGCAAUGUUGUUUCAGUGGCUCAGUUUUAUUUUGGUUCAACGUUUUUGAUUAGUUUUCUAAGCCUCUGAUUGCUCUUGGUGUUUUGUACAGGGAAAACAACUUUUGUGAAGAGACAUCUUACUGGGGAGUUUGAGAAGAAGUAUGAACGUAAGUUUAGCAGUGAUUGCUUGUGAAUGCACACAGUUUCUAUUCUUUAUGUCUCUUUACUGAUUCUGAUGUUGAGUCUUAAUCUCUUGUAUUGCAGCUACUAUUGGUGUGGAGGUUCAUCCUUUGGAUUUCUUCACAAACUGUGGCAAGAUCCGUUUUUACUGCUGGGAUACUGCUGGACAAGAGAAAUUUGGUGGCCUCAGGGAUGGAUACUAGUAAGUAUACCUAUCUCCAUUGAUAUGUUUGUGUGUAUAGUCUAUAUAGAAUAGCUCUGGUUGGUUUGUGGGUGAAAUUGGCAACUGAUUUGUUACCUGGACAGUGGGAAUAGGAAUCGUUUGUUGUUAAGUAAUCUGUUAAGAUCCCAAUGUGUAUUAGAUUAUGCAUAGUUUGGAAUAGCUCUGGUUAAAGUGUGAAAUACAAGAACAAUCUCACAUGCCAUGUUUGCAAUUGAUUUGUUACCUGAACAGUGAGAAUAGGAGUUGAAUGAUAAUGGUUGAUUUGAUUUGCCGUUUUGGAUAUAUGUCUAAUCUUUGGUUUUCUUGCAGCAUCCAUGGUCAAUGUGCCAUAAUAAUGUUUGACGUCACAGCAAGGCUCACAUACAAGAAUGUUCCAACAUGGCACCGUGAUCUCUGCAGGGUGUGUGAAAACAUCCCGAUUGUUCUGUGUGGGAACAAAGUCGAUGUGAAGAACAGGCAAGUGAAGGCAAAGCAGGUGACAUUCCACAGGAAGAAGAAUCUGCAGUACUAUGAGAUAUCGGCAAAGAGCAACUACAACUUCGAGAAGCCUUUCUUGUACCUUGCUAGGAAACUGGCGGGAGACCAGAACCUUCACUUUGUCGAGUCACCAGCUCUUGCUCCACCAGAGGUUCACCUUGACAUUGCUGCUCAGCAGCAGAACGAGGCCGAUCUCGCAGCUGCCGCAGCUCAGCCUCUCCCCGAUGACGAUGAUGAUGCGUUUGAGUAAAUCUUCCAAAAUGUCUGCCAUGGUUUCCUCUAUUAUGCUGUUUUGAUUUUGACGUUACAUAUAAAUCAAUGGUCUAUUUUAUAACAACAAUUGCGGGAAAUAUUGGGAUUGUUCUGUUUUGAGACCCGAAGAGA